UCUGAUAUAAUUUUAAUACAUGUGUCUAAUCAAACUUAUUGUACUGUUUAGAAAUAAAUAGAAUUAGGAUAUAUCUAAAACUAAAAAUAUGGUUGCGUAAAAUUAAGCAUUCACCUAUGAGAUAUUUGUUAAAAAAAUAUUUUUGUUUAGCAUUAUUGUUUGGUGGGAUAAAAUUAUUAUGUAAUAAAAUAAAU